rnacentral:rRNA from 1 species
GGGGAAUAUUGCACAAUGGGCGCAAGCCUGAUGCAGCAACGCCGCGUGAGGGACGACGGCCUUCGGGUUGUAAACCUCUUUUGGCAGGGAAGAAGCGAAAGUGACGGUACCUGCAGAAAAAGCACCGGCUAACUACGUGCCAGCAGCCGCGGUGAUACGUAGGGUGCAAGCGUUGUCCGGAAUUAUUGGGCGUAAAGAGCUCGUAGGCGGUUUGUCGCGUCUGCUGUGAAAACCCGAGGCUCAACCUCGGGCCUGCAGUGGGUACGGGCAAACUAGAGUGCGGUAGGGGAGAGUGGAAUUCCUGGUGUAGCGGUGGAAUGCGCAGAUAUCAGGAGGAACACCGAUGGCGAAGGCAGAUCUCUGGGCCGUAACUGACGCUGAGGAGCGAAAGCAUGGGGAGCGAACA